rnacentral:rRNA from 1 species
GAUGAACGCUAGCUACAGGCUUAACACAUGCAAGUCGAGGGACCGGCGCACGGGUGAGUAAAACGUAUCCAACCUGCCCUUUACUCGGGGAUAGCCUUUCGAAAGAAAGAUUAAUACACGAAGUAAAGGAUGGGGAUGCGUGCCAUUAGGUGGUUGGUGAAGUAACGGCUCACCAAGCAUUCGAUGGAUAGGGGUUCUGAGCGGAAGGUCCCCCAUAUUGGAACUGAGACACGGUCCAAACUCCUACGGGAGGGAGCAGUGAGGAAUAUUGGGCAAUGGGCGUUAGCCUGAACCAGCCAAGUAGCGUGAAGGAUGAAGGCUUAUGGGUCGUAAACUUCUUUUAUAUAAGAAUAUGUAUUAUAUGAAUAAGGAUCGGCUAACUCCGUGCCAGCAGCCGCGGUAAUAC